GUGCCAGCCGCCGCGGUAAUACGAAGGGACCUAGCGUAGUUCGGAAUUACUGGGCUUAAAGAGUUCGUAGGUGGUUAAGAAAGUUGAUGGUGAAAUCCCAGAGCUUAACUCUGGAACUGCCAUCAAAACUUUUUAGCUAGAGUAUGAUAGAGGAAAGUAGAAUUUCUAGUGUAGAGGUGAAAUUCGUAGAUAUUAGAAAGAAUACCAAUUGCGAAGGCAACUUUCUGGAUCAUUACUGACACUGAGGAACGAAAGCAUGGGUAGCGAAGAGGAUUAGAUACCCUCGUAGUCCAUGCCGUAAACGAUGUGUGCCAAACGUUGGAAAUUUAUUUUCAGUGUUGUAGCAAAAGCGUUAAGCACACCGCCUGGGGAGUACGACCGCAAGGUUAAAACUCAAAUGAAUUGACGGGGACCCGCACAAGCAGUGGAGCAUGUGGUUUAAUUCGAAGAUACGCGCAGAACCUUACCAACACUUGACAUGUUCGUCGCGACUUUAAGAGAUUAAAGUCUUCGGUUCGGCCGGACGAAACACAGGUGCUGCAUGGCUGUCGUCAGCUCGUGUCGUGAGAUGUUGGGUUAAGUCCCGCAACGAGCGCAACCCUUACUUUUAGUUGCCACCAUUUAGUUGAGCACUCUGAAAGAACUGCCAGUGAUAAGCUGGAGGAAGGUGGGGAUGACGUCAAGUCCUCAUGGCCCUUACGUGUUGGGCUACACACGUGCUACAAUGGUACUCACAAUAGGAAGCAAAGAGGCGACUCUAAGCAAAUCCUAAAAAAGUGCCUCAGUUCGGAUUGUACUCUGCAACUCGAGUACAUGAAGCUGGAAUUGCUAGUAAUCGCGGAUCAGCGUGCCGCGGUGAAUACGUUCCCGGGUCUUGCACACACCGCCCGUC
rnacentral:rRNA from 1 species